rnacentral:rRNA from 1 species
GAUGAACGCUAGCGGCAGGCUUAAUACAUGCAAGUCAAGGGGGUAGCAAUACUACCGGCGCACGGGUGAGUAACACGUACAUAACAUACCAUAUACUGGGGUAUAGCUUUGGGAAACUGAAGGUAAUCCCCCAUAACAUUGCGAGAGGGCAUCUGAUUGCAAUUAAAGUUUCGACGGUAUAUGAUUGAUGUGCGUUUGAUUAGCUUGUUGGUAGGGUAACGGCCUACCAAGGUGACGAUCAAUAGCUGGCGUGAGAGCGCGACCAGCCACACUGGAACUGAGACACGGUCCAGACUCCUACGGGAGGCAGCAGUAGGGAAUAUUGGACAAUGGGCGAAAGCCUGAUCCAGCCAUGCCGCGUGAUAGAUGAAGGCCCUCUGGGUUGUAAAUAUCUUUUAUCUGGGAAGAAACAAUCUUAUUCUUAAGAUCUUGACGGUACCAGAGGAAUAAGCACCGGCUAACUCCGUGCCAGCAGCCGCGGUAAAGUAU